rnacentral:rRNA from 1 species
GACGAACGCUGGCGGCGUGCUUAACACAUGCAAGUCGAACGCUGAAGCUUGGUGCUUGCACUGGGUGGAUGAGUGGCGAACGGGUGAGUAAUACGUGAGUAACCUGCCCUUGACUCUGGGAUAAGCCUGGGAAACUGGGUCCAAUACUGGAUACGACAUGUCACCGCAUGGUGGUGUGUGGAAAGGGGUUUACUGGUUUUGGAUGGGCUCACGGCCUAUCAGCUUGUUGGUGGGGUAAUGGCUCACCAAGGCGACGACGGGUAGCCGGCCUGAGAGGGUGACCGGCCACACUGGGACUGAGACACGGCCCAGACUCCUACGGGAGGCAGCAGUGGGGAAUAUUGCACAAUGGGCGGAAGCCUGAUGCAGCGACGCCGCGUGAGGGAUGACGGCCUUCGGGUUGUAAACCUCUUUCAGCACGGAAGAAGCGAAAGUGACGGUACGUGCAGAAGAAGCGCCGGCUAACUACGUG